AACGAACGCUGGCGGCAUGCCUAACACAUGCAAGUCGAACGAACCUUUCAUACUUAGUGGCGCACGGGUGAGUAACACGUGGUAACGUGCCUUUAGGUUCGGAAUAACUCAGUGAAACUUGUCCUAAUACCGCAUUUGACCUUCGGAGGAAAGAUCAAUCGCUUUUAGAGCGUCCCACGUCUGUUUAGCUAAUUUGUUGAGGUAAUGGUUCACCAAGGCUCCGCUCAGUAUCUGCUCUGAGAGGAGGAUCAGCCACACUGGGACAGAGACACGGCGCAAACUCCUACGGGAGGCAGCAGUGGGGAAUCUUGCGCAAUGGGCGAAAGCCUGACGCAGCCAUGCCGCGUGAAUGAUGAAGGUCUUAGGAUUGUAAAAUUCUUUGGCCGGGGACGAUAAUGACGGUACCCGGAGAAGAAGCCCCGGCUAACUUCGUG
rnacentral:rRNA from 1 species